UAUUACAUAUGUUUUGUCAAGUUCAACAUGCUAUUUGAAUACUGUGCAUUGUUUAAUUUUGCAAAACUAAGGCACUUGUUCAUUUUUCGUUGGCUUGUAUGUGUAUGUUAAUUAGAUUGCUGUUGAAUUUGUGUUUGAUCUAAUAUUUGACUCCGAUUAUGGCACCAAAUAUGUUUACUAGUAGAAUAAAAAUAAUCAAAAAAUAAGACAAAAUAGACAUGCCCGUGUCUGUUUGUGGGGCGUUCGUUGGAUGCACCGGACAGAGUAUCCGCGAACGCAUGUCCAGUAUCCCCAAAUGGGCAAAAUUUGGCAAAAAUAUGAACCUGAUUUAAAGGAUUUUGGUGAGUUAAUCUCUCGCGACUUCAGCUGACAAUGCAAUUUGUUCUCUUAUACCCUAGAUAAUACUAUGUCUUUUCCAAAAUAUAAGCAUUUUUAGAAAGCUAAUUUAGCUUGCUGAAUAAGGCUUAUAUUUCGGAACAGAGUAAUACUACUUUUUACCAUAUGAUCCGCCUUUACAUUGAGAACUUGGUUUCUCUCAUGCGAAUAGAACCUCUAGGGCUUUGUUUAGAUGUAGGUAUUCAAGUGUGGUAUUGAAAUCCCAUCUUGUUGUCCGAAAACAAGGGCACAAGAGCAACCGAAAGUUUCCUAAUCCGUUUGUGCCCCCGGCUGCAAGUGCACACUCAACUUCAUCUACUACGUCUCAAGCAUCAAGUGCAUGCCCAACUUCAUCUACUACACCAGAAGCUACAAGAACCUCUGAUGCAAUGCCCCAUGCUCCAGCAGGACACGCACCAUGGAUUCCACCAAGACAAGCUGCUCCAACAUAUGCACCUCCACAGGGACAACAAAUGGGAGGGGGGGUAUCUAAACUCCAGAUUGUAUAGCUACUUCACUGCAGGUCUUGAUGCCGAGAAUCGGCAAGAAGAAGAAUGAUGUGUAAUGCUAGGCUUAGUGACCAAGCAUAUUCCUUUUUUGGAUGCAUGUGCAAAGAGACGCAAAUUUUGUAAAUAUUUUUAUGAGCCAUGAUGGUGAUCCGAAUGAUGAUCAUAUUAUUCUGUCAUCUUUGAUGCUACAAAUGCUCAUGUUAUUCACAACAAAGGUGUGUUAAUUCACAACAAAGGUGUGUUAUAAUGCUUU